AAAACAGCAUCAAACAGGUUAAUGGCUUUACUCAAAGUCAGAUCAACAGUGGGAGCAGAGGUCGUGCAGAACCCAAAUGUCAGCCUUCAGCUUGCACCUACGGGGUCACACGAGAGACACCGGAGACGAAGCCACCUUUGGCUGUACCCAAGAGGGAAAAGAAGAAAAAUAACAACUAGAAGAGGAGCCCAUGACACAUCCUACUCUGUUUUGAAAGUGAGCCAAGUAAAUGAGGAGGAUUAGGACCAAAGGAGCACCUCAGACUCAGGGGUCAGAGUCCAAUCCCAGCUCCCAAGUCACACUGAGAAGCCAGUCACCCGAGUUGAUGGGAAAAGACACAGCCCACUGCUCUAGCUCUCAUCAGUCCACCACACUGAUAUCUCUCUUUUCUUAAACAUCUUCUGUCUCCAGCCUGAUACAUGUCAGCAGAU
rnacentral:lncRNA from 1 species